rnacentral:tRNA from 1 species
GGCCCGUUGGUCAAGCGGCUAAGACACGGCCCUUUCACGGCUGAGACAGGGGUUCGAUUCCCCUACGGGUCACCA